AUCAUCCGCUGCGAAGUCGGUCGCACCCCUCAGCGGGGUCAGGGAAUCCGGUCGAAAUCCGGAACUGACGCGCAGCGGUAGGGACGUCCUUGAAGGCACAUGGCCACUGGACCACGGUCUGGGAAGGCUGCCUCCUCGAAAACGUCCGAGUCCGAAGACCUGCCGGCUUUGCGCCAUCUGG
rnacentral:ncRNA from 2 species